GACAAGUGGCUUAGUGGUUAGAACUUCUGCCUAGGAUGCGGGAAGUCGCGAGUUCGAACCCCGACUGAGUCA